rnacentral:piRNA from 1 species
UGAAGAUGGAAGAACGCCCA